rnacentral:rRNA from 1 species
ACGCUCGACACCUACGGGGGGCAGCAGUCGGGAAUAUUGCGCAAUGGAGGAAACUCUGACGCAGUGACGCCGCGUGCAGGAAGAAGGUUUUCGGAUUGUAAACUGCUUUAGACAGGGAAGAAAGAAAUGACAGUACCUGUAGAAUAAGCUCCGGCUAACUACGUGCCNCNNCGCGGAGUAUNGNGGCGNGUGAGAG